rnacentral:sRNA from 1 species
UACGAAUCUUAUCAAAUUUGGCGGCGGC